GAGUUUGAUCGUGGCUCAGAUUGAACGCUGGCGGCAUGCCUUACACAUGCAAGUCGAACGGCAGCACGGGAGCUUGCUCCUGGUGGCGAGUGGCGAACGGGUGAGUAAUGCAUCGGAACGUAUCCUGGAGUGGGGGAUAACGUAGCGAAAGUUACGCUAAUACCGCAUAUUCUGUGAGCAGGAAAGCGGGGGACCUUCGGGCCUCGCGCUCUUGGAGCGGCCGAUGUCGGAUUAGCUAGUUGGUGAGGUAAAGGCUCACCAAGGCGACGAUCCGUAGCAGGUCUGAGAGGAUGAUCUGCCACACUGGAACUGA
rnacentral:rRNA from 1 species